GCACUCAGCUGACGACCGGCGCACGGGUGCGUAACGCGUAUGCAAUCUACCUCUUACUGAGGGAUAGCCCAUGGAAACGUGGAUUAAUACCUCAUAGUAUUAUAGACUGGCCUCAGUUUAUGAUUAAAGGUUACGGUAAGAGAUGAGCAUGCGUCCUAUUAGCUAGAUGGUAAGGUAACGGCUUACCAUGGCUACGAUAGGUAGGGGUCCUGAGAGGGAGAUCCCCCACACUGGUACUGAGACACGGACCAGACUCCUACGGGAGGCAGCAGUGAGGAAUAUUGGACAAUGGGCGAGAGCCUGAUCCAGCCAUGCCGCGUGCAGGAAGACGGCCCUAUGGGUUGUAAACUGCUUUUACAGAGGAAGAACCCUCCUUACGUGUAAGGAGCUGACGGUACUCUAUGAAUAAGGAUCGGCUAACUCCGUGCCAGCAGCCGCGGUAAUACGGAGGAUCCAAGCGUUAUCCGGAAUCAUUGGGUUUAAAGGGUCCGUAGGCGGGUCUAUAAGUCAGUGGUGAAAGUCUGCAGCUUAACUGUAGAACUGCCAUUGAUACUGUAGACCUUGAAUUAGUAUGAAGUGGUUAGAAUGUGUAGUGUAGCGGUGAAAUGCAUAGAUAUUACACAGAAUACCGAUUGCGAAGGCAGAUCACUAAUACUAUAUUGACGCUGAUGGACGAAAGCGUAGGUAGCGAACAGGAUUA
rnacentral:rRNA from 1 species